UAUCUUUUUCAGCACACGCUUGGCUUUCCUGCAGCUUUCUUCAGGGGAGUCACUGCUCAGCACUGGAGAGAAAGGGGGAAGUUCAGCACUGCUGGGUGGACACAGUGAUGCUGGGCAGCCAGGACACCUACACAUGUCAACGUCCUCCAUGUUCUUCUCAACGUAUCUGCCAACCUCCAGGGGUUUCUGUUUCUUGUCCCGGGUCCACCUUUGCUGCCGGAGCUUGCGCUCCCUCACACGGGCAUAAAUCGGCUUCUGCUGCUGCCAGAACUCGCUGCGGGUCUCCAGGUAGGAAAUGCCACCCAAAACCAGGUCCUUCACUUUGAUCCCCUGCUGUGUGCUGCUUUCCAUCAGAUCUGAAAAGGAGACAGAGGAACCCAGGAGAGCGUUAACGUGUGGGAUGGAUGAAGCUCCACUUCUCCUGCUCUGAUAGAGGGUCCUAGAAACCAAAGCCUUGGUGCUCCUCAGAACCUUGGUGUGCUGAGGAGGGAAGUUAUGGAAAGCUCCCUUGCCGUUCCCAUUCCCAUUCCAUGUGUUUUAGUGAGCUAGUGCUGGUGUUCCCAACCCCUAUCGUGGAAUUUAUCAUGAAUCAUUAUGGCAGAAGUUAUUUGUAA